rnacentral:rRNA from 1 species
UACGAGUGGUGCAAGCGUUGCUCGGAAUUAUUGGGCGUAAAGGGUUGGUAGGUGGUCUUGUUUGUCUAGGGUGAAAUCCCAUGGCUUAACUGUGGAAGUGCCCUAGAAACGGCAAGACUAGAGUCCUAGAGGGGUUUGUGGAAUUCCCGGUGUAGCGGUGAAAUGCGUAGAGAUCGGGAGGAACACCAGCGGCGAAGGCGGCAAACUGGAUAGGCACUGACACUCAACAACGAAAGCGUGGGGAGCAAACAGG